CCUACGGGAGGCAGCAGUGAGGAAUAUUGGUCAAUGGCCGUAAGGCUGAACCAGCCAAGUCGCGUGAAGGAAGAAGGAUCUAUGGUUUGUAAACUUCUUUUAUAGGGGAAUAAAGGUAUCCACGUGUGGAUAUUUGCAUGUACCCUAUGAAUAAGCAUCGGCUAACUCCGUGCUAGCAGCCGCGGUAAUACGGAGGAUGCGAGCGUUAUCCGGAUUUAUGUGGUUUAAAGGGUGAGUAGGUUGUUUUUUAAGUCAUCGGGGAAAGUUUCUGGCGCAAACAUAAAAUUGCCGUUGAAACUGGAAGACUUGAGUGUGUUUGAGGUAGGCGGAAUGCGUGGUGGAGCGGUGAAAUGCAUAGAUAUCACGCAGAACUCCGAUUGCGAAGGCAGCUUACUAAGUCAUAACUGACACUGAAGCACGAAAGCGUGGGGAUCAAACAGGAUUAGAUACCCGGGUAGUC
rnacentral:rRNA from 1 species